rnacentral:tRNA from 1 species
GCCGGGGUAGGCUAGCCUGGUAGACUUGGGGACUGUGGAUCCCCGGACUCGAGUUCAAAUCUCGGCCCCGGCC